GAUGAAGAACGUAGUGAAAUGCGAUACUUGGUGUGAAUUGCAGAAUCCCGUGAACCAUCGAGUCUUUGAACGCAAGUUGCGCCCGAAGCCAUUAGGCCGAGGGCACGCCUGCCUGGGCGUCACACGUCGUUGCCCCCCCAUCUACUCCUUCGGGAUUGCGGGGGGCGGAUGAUGGCCUCCCGUGCGCCUCGUCGCGCGGUUGGCAUAAAUGCCAAGUCCUCGGCGACGCACGCCACGACAAUCGGUGGUUGCGAAACCUCGGUUGCCCGUCGUGUGCGGUCGUCGCGCAUCGAGGGCUCGAAAAAAUUGCCGGGCUCCGGCUCGGCUUUCAACGCGACCCCAGGUCAGGUGGGGUUACCCGCUGAAUUUAAGCAUAUCAAUAAGCGGAGGA
rnacentral:misc_RNA from 1 species